rnacentral:rRNA from 1 species
UGUACAGAAUAACAAUACAGGGCUAAUGUCUUGUAAUUGGAAUGAUGGUGACUUAAACCCUCACCAGAGUAGCAAUUGGAGGGCAAGUCUGGUGCCAGCAGCCGCGGUAAUUCCAGCUCCAAUAGCGUAUAUUAAACUUGUUGCAGUUAAAAAGCUCGUAGUUGUAUUUUUGCUUGGCGGUUUGUUGCCUUUGUGGCUGUAUCCCGCUUGGCUUUUGGCUUUUUGCCUUAUUACUUUGAGAAAAUUAGAGUGUUUCAAGCAGACUUUUGUCUUGAAUACUGUAGCAUGGAAUAAUAGAGUAGGACUUUGGUUCUAUUUUGUUGGUUUGGGAACCUUGGUAAUGGUUAAUAGGAACGGUUGGGGGCAUUCGUAUUUAAA